rnacentral:rRNA from 1 species
GCAAGUCGAACGAAGUAGCAAUACUUAGUGGCAGACGGGUGAGUAACAUGUAGGUAUCUGCCCUUUGGCCUGGAAUAACACGAGGAAACUUGUGCUAAUACCGGAUAAGUCUUUACGGAGAAAGCUUUAUGCACCAUUGGAUGAGCCUGCACUUGAUUAGUUUGUUGGUAGGGUAAUGGCCUACCAAGACUGUGAUCAAUAGCUGAUUUGAGAGGAUGAUCAGCCACAUUGGGACUGAGACACGGCCCAAACUCCUACGGGAGGCAGCAGUGGGGAAUCUUGCACAAUGGAGGAAACUCUGAUGCAGCGAUGCCGCGUGAGUGAAGAAGGCCUUUGGGUUGUAAAGCUCUUUCGUCGGGGAAGAAAAUGACUGUACCCGAAUAAGAAGGUCCGGCUAACUUCGUGCCAGCAGCCGCGGUAAUACGAAGGGACCUAGCGUAGUUCGGAAUUACUGGGCUUAAAGAGUUCGUAGGUGGUUGAAAAAGUUGGUGGUGAGAUCCCAGAGCUUAACUCUGGAACUGCCAUCAAAACUUUUCAGCUAGAGUAUGAUAGAGGAAAGCAGAAUUUCUAGUGUAGAGGUGAAAUUCGUAGAUAUUAGAAAGAAUACCAAUUGCGAAGGCAGCUUUCUGGAUCAUUACUGACACUGAGGAACGAAAGCAUGGGUAGCGAAGAGGAUUAGAUACCCUCGUAGUCCAUGCCGUAAACGAUGUGUGUUAGACGUUGGAAAUUUAUUUUCAGUGUCGCAGCGAAAGCGAUAAACACACCGCCUGGGGAGUACGACCGCAAGGUUAAAACUCAAAUGAAUUGACGGGGACCCGCACAAGUAGUGGAGCAU